AACGAACGCUGGCGGCAGACUUAACACAUGCAAGUCGAACGCCCCUUCGGGGGGAGUGGCAGACGGGUGAGUAACGCGUGGGAAUCUACCUAGUUCUACGGAACAACAGUUGGAAACGACUGCUAAUACCGUAUACGCCCUAUGGGGGAAAGAUUUAUCGGAAUUAGAUGAGCUCGCGUAAGAUUAGCUAGUUGGUGGGGUAAUGGCCUACCAAGGCGACGAUCUUUAGCUGGUCUGAGAGGA
rnacentral:rRNA from 1 species